AGGGGAUCUUCGGACCUUUCGCCAUGAGAUGAGCCUGCGUUAGAUUAGCUAGUUGGUAGGGUAAAGGCCUACCAAGGCGACGAUCUAUAGCUGGUCUGAGAGGACGAUCAGCCACACUGGGACUGAGACACGGCCCAGACUCCUACGGGAGGCAGCAGUGGGGAAUAUUGGACAAUGGGCGAAAGCCUGAUCCAGCAAUACCGCGUGUGUGAAGAAGGCCUUAGGGUUGUAAAGCACUUUCAAUUGGGAGGAAAACCUGCCGGCCAAUACCCGGUAGCUUGACAUUACCUUUAGAAGAAGCACCGGCUAACUCCGUGCCAGCAGCCGCGGUAAUACGGAGGGUGCGAGCGUUAAUCGGAAUUACUGGGCGUAAAGCGUGCGUAGGCGGUUCGUUAAGUCAGAUGUGAAAGCCCUGGGCUCAACCUGGGAACUGCAUUUGAAACUGGCGGACUAGAGUUUGGUAGAGGGGAGCGGAAUUUCAGGUGUAGCGGUGAAAUGCGUAGAUAUCUGAAGGAACACCAGUGGCGAA
rnacentral:rRNA from 1 species